GAUGAACGCUGACGGCGUGCCUAAUACAUGCAAGUCGAGCGAACGGACGAGAAGCUUGCUUCUCUGAUGUUAGCGGCGGACGGGUGAGUAACACGUGGAUAACCUACCUAUAAGACUGGGAUAACUUCGGGAAACCGGAGCUAAUACCGGAUAAUAUUUUGAACCGCAUGGUUCAAAAGUGAAAGACGGUCUUGCUGUCACUUAUAGAUGGAUCCGCGCUGCAUUAGCUAGUUGGUAAGGUAACGGCUUACCAAGGCUACGAUGCAUAGCCGACCUGAGAGGGUGAUCGGCCACACUGGAACUGAGACACGGUCCAGACUCCUACGGGAGGCAGCAGUAGGGAAUCUUCCGCAAUGGGCGAAAGCCUGACGGAGCAACGCCGCGUGAGUGAUGAAGGUCUUCGGAUCGUAAAACUCUGUUAUUAGGGAAGAACAUAUGUGUAAGUAACUGUGCACAUCUUGACGGUACCUAAUCAGAAAGCCACGGCUAACUACGUG
rnacentral:rRNA from 1 species